rnacentral:rRNA from 1 species
UUUAAAUGGCCGCAGUAUACUAACUGUGCAAAGGUAGCAUAAUCAUUAGUCUUUUAAUUGAAGGCUGGUAUGAAUGGUUGGACGAGAUAUUAACUGUUUCAUAAAAAUUUAUAUUAGAAUUUUAUUUUUUAGUCAAAAAGCUAAAAUUUAUUUAAAAGACGAGAAGACCCUAUAAAUCUUUAUAUUUAAAUUAUUAUAAUUUUGUAGAUAAUUUUUGUUAUAAUAAUUAAUAAUAUUUUAUUGGGGUGAUAUUAAAAUUUAAUUAACUUUUAAUUUUUAAAAAUCAUUAAUUUAUGAAUAAUUGAUCCGUUAUUAACGAUUAAAAAAAUAAGUUACUUUAGGGAUAACAGCGUAAUUUUUUUGGAGAGUUCAUAUCGAUAAAAAAGAUUGCGACCUCGAUGUUGGAUUAAGAUAUAAUUUUAGGUGUAGCCGCUUAAAUUUUAAGUCUGUUCGACUUUUAA